AGGGUUUGAUCAUGGCUCAGAACGUACGCUGGCGGCACGCCUAACACAUGCAAGUCGAACGAAGUAGCAAUACUUAGUGGCAGACGGGUGAGUAACAUGUGGGUAUCUGCCCUUUGGCCUGGAAUAACACGAGGAAACUUGUGCUAAUACUGGAUAAGUCUUUACGGAGAAAGCUUUAUGCACCAUUGGAUGAGCCCGCACUUGAUUAGUUUGUUGGUGGGGUAAUGGCCUACCAAGACUGUGAUCAAUAGCUGAUUUGAGAGGAUGAUCAGCCACAUUGGGACUGAGACACGGCCCAAACUCCUACGGGAGGCAGCAGUGGGGAAUCUUGCACAAUGGAGGAAACUCUGAUGCAGCGAUGCCGCGUGAGUGAAGAAGGCCCUUGGGUUGUAAAGCUCUUUCGUCGGGGAAGAAAAUGACUGUACCCGAAUAAGAAGGUCCGGCUAACUUCGUGCCAGCAGCCGCGGUAAUACGAAGGGACCUAGCGUAGUUCGGAAUUACUGGGCUUAAAGAGUUCGUAGGUGGUUGAAAAAGUUAGUGGUGAAAUCCCAGAGCUUAACUCUGGAACUGCCAUUAAAACUUUUCAGCUAGAGUAUGAUAGAGGAAAGCAGAAUUUCUAGUGUAGAGGUGAAAUUCGUAGAUAUUAGAAAGAAUACCAAUUGCGAAGGCAGCUUUCUGGAUCAUUACUGACACUGAGGAACGAAAGCAUGGGUAGCGAAGAGGAUUAGAUACCCUCGUAGUCCAUGCCGUAAACGAUGUGUGUUAGACGUUGGAAAUUUAUUUUCAGUGUCGCAGCGAAAGCGAUAAACACACCGCCUGGGGAGUACGACCGCAAGGUUAAAACUCAAAUGAAUUGACGGGGACCCGCACAAGUAGUGGAGCAUGUGGUUUAAUUCGAAGAUACGCGCAGAACCUUACCAACACUUGACAUGUUCGUCGCGACUCUAAGAGAUUAGAGUUUUCGGUUCGGCCGGACGAAACACAGGUGCUGCAUGGCUGUCGUCAGCUCGUGUCGUGAGAUGUUGGGUUAAGUCCCGCAACGAGCGCAACCCUCACUUUUAGUUGCCAUCAUUAAGUUGGGCACUCUGAAAGAACUGCCAGUGAUAAGCUGGAGGAAGGUGGGGAUGACGUCAAGUCCUCAUGGCCCUUACGUGUUGGGCUACACACGUGCUACAAUGGUAUCUACAACAGGAAGCAAGACUGCGAGGUCAAGCAAAUCCUUAAAAGAUACCUCAGUUCGGAUUGCACUCUGCAACUCGAGUGCAUGAAGCUGGAAUUACUAGUAAUCGUGGAUCAGCGUGCCACGGUGAAUGCGUUCCCGGGUCUUGUACACACCGCCCGUCACACCAUGGGAGUUGGUUCUACCUUAAGGCAAGGUUUCAAACCCUUGACCACGGUAUAGUCAGCGACUGGGGUGAAGUCGUAACAAGGUAGCCGUA
rnacentral:rRNA from 1 species